rnacentral:rRNA from 1 species
AUUGAACGCUGGCGGCAGGCCUAACACAUGCAAGUCGAGCGGAUGAAGGGAGCUUGCUCCUGGAUUCAGCGGCGGACGGGCGAGUAAUGCCUAGGAAUCUGCCUGGCAGUGGGGGCUAACGUCCGGAAACGGGCGCUAAUACCGCAUACGUCCUGAGGGAGAAAGUGGGGGAUCUUCGGACCUCACGCUAUCAGAUGAGCCUAGGUCGGAUUAGCUAGUUGGUGGGGUAAAGGCCUACCAAGGCGACGAUCCGUAACUGGUCUGAGAGGAUGAUCAGUCACACUGGAACUGAGACACGGUCCAGACUCCUACGGGAGGCAGCAGUGGGGAAUAUUGGACAAUGGGCGAAAGCCUGAUCCAGCCAUGCCGCGUGAGUGAAGAAGGUCUUCGGAUUGUAAAGCACUUUUAGUAGGGAAGAAGAGCAGUAAGUUAAUACCUUGCUGUUUUGACGUUACCAACAGAAUAAGCACCGGCUAACUUCGUG